rnacentral:rRNA from 1 species
UACGGAGGAUCCAAGCGUUGUCCGGAUUUAUUGGGUUUAAAGGGUGCGUAGGCGGGUUAUUAAGUCAGUGGUGAAAGCCGGCAGCUCAACUGUCGAACUGCCAUUGAAACUGAUAGCCUAGAAUCUAGUAGAGGUAGGCGGAAUGUAUCAUGUAGCGGUGAAAUGCUUAGAUAUGAUACAGAACACCAAUUAAGAAAGCAGCUUACUAUGCUGGUAUUGACGCUGAGGCACGAAAGCGUGGGGAUCAAACAGG